UUAGGCAAGAGGGCCCUUUACACAUUCAAUUCCAUGUUGCAUUGAGAUUCUAUCUUUUAGGGAGUAGCAAUUUGACGCCAAGGAGGCAAUUGUGACCUACAAUUUUUUUUUGAAUAAUAGGAUACUGCUUCAUAUUAGACCUAUAUUUCAUGGACCUAGGAUGGACUUUAGGAGAUAUCGUGCCGAAGAGUAUUUUGGAACCUAGAUAUCGUGGGCAUGGAGCACCAUGAUUUUUUAGAUUUUUAAGUUGAGUAGUUACUGAAAACGCAGUAAUUAUCCCAUUUCGGACUAAUCGUAGUUCUUAUCAAAUUUCGUCUCAAUAUGUGUAAGAGUGUGCGUGUGUGUGUGACAGGCAAAUAGUCAGGCAGUAAGCCGAUUUCAAUAAGGUUUUGUUCAAUCUAAACCUAUCAUAACUAAACCUUAAAAAUAAAACCUGGGAGAAUCAAAAGGCCGUGAACUCGAGAAAAGCUGUGAAAAAUCGUAAAAGGCGAGCAAGUUUUACUAACAAAUCAUCAGGAUGAAGCCUUAUACAUCUCUCACUCAUCCUGUCCAGACACAGAAUCAAAUCUGUUUCCGACCAUAUUUCCAUAUUAGAACGACCGGUUGAUUACUUUGAUGAACUGCUCAACAGCAAAAAAUUGGACAAGUUUAAGGAAUUUUGAAAUUUACACGAGACGGGAAUGCAUGGGGGCAUCUUCUGAUAAGAUUUUGAUUUAGGACUGACGUUUGCAAAGAUUAGCUUUGGAAAAAGUAUGGUGCCCUUAUCAAAUCGAGGAGGCGCAUAAAUAUUUAAGAAGAUGAACGCCUGAAAUAUGAGGAAUUAUUGUAAUUUAAUGUUCAGCAGAUAUUCAAAAUCACAAUCUUUAUGAAAAUGGGCUGUAGUCAGAGUGAAUUUAUAUAAAGUUCAUGGAUAUACAUUGCUGUCUGCGUUUCAUACAAAAGAAUUCAGCUAAGUGGUCAAGGGCGAAUUUACGUCAUAACUUCUAAAAAAGAAAAUCGAUGAAUAGCUUUAAUGGCGGUAUUUUGAUUAUCAAGGCAAAG